UGGGGAAUUUUGCGCAGUGGGCGAAAGCCUGACGCAGCGACGCCGCGUGUGCGAUGAAGGCCUUUGGGUCGUAAAGCACUGUCGAGAGGGACGAAAACCCAUCGGGGAUAAUACGGUGGGCUUGACGGUACCUCUAAAGGAAGCACCGGCUAACUCUGUG
rnacentral:rRNA from 1 species